GUCGUUGAGAACGGUCAAGUUUCAACUGUUCCCUGUUGUUGACUGUGUCUAUACUGAAUAGGGUCACGCCGCUAGGUUUCCGCUCAUCAUUCAAAAUAUUUAAUGGGAGUUUCUCCUUUCUAAAUAUUUUAUUUGAUACUCUCACUUUCAAUUUAGUGAGUAGUAUUCUGGGAAGCAAUCAAUAACAACACUGCUGCGGGGGAGACUGAUGAAGCAUAUAUAUGAGAACAGAGUUGUUACAUUCACGUAGCCACCAGUCCCGCCACGAUGUUAUACAUCUUCCCAUCCAGAAGAAAGGACAUCUAUCUGGUGGCAUAAGACAUGCAACUAUUUCCUAGAUUUCCUAUUACGAGGGGAACAUCAACAACGUCAUCGCAGGUCUUCUUAAUAAGCUGUCAAUCUGUUUUCCUGUUUGUAUGCCAGCAUUUUCAAAGUCAACUCACCUAUAGGAGACGUCGGGAUUUCUGGAGAAAACGCAAGAAAAAGACGUUCGUUUUGAAAAUGCGCACCUGAAACUGGAGUCGCUCUGGACGUGAUGUAAUUUGACAACGUUUGGAUGUUUCAAGUUUCGCAGAGCUUCUUCUUCUUUUUCGCUGCCAUCAACAUCCUCCAGCAUAAGUCGUUUAACGGCUACUGGUUCGCGAUUUGGUCCCAAGAAACCGUUGAAGAUGAUCCCAAAUCCUCCUCUACCUAAAACGGUUUUGCUGCAUUCAAAUUCCAUCUCAAAUCAGCUGGCCGAUUGACUAAGCAGUUUUUGAAAUAAAAUUAUUAACGUGAA